GAAAAGAAAAGAUCCCAAGAGAUUUCGGAAUCCGGUAUUAAGCUACGACAAGAAAAACGACCAAUUCACUUACAGGAAACGAGAAAAGGCAUCCGUUUCCAAGAAGAAUUGCAACACAUAAAGGACUAGGACAUGUUUUGUGUAAAUAUAUUGAUUGGGCUUAGGUUAGGGCUUCCUCCAUGACGCGUCUCUCCAAUCGGUAUUCCCUUGGGUCUCCUCAAUUCCAUUCUUAUAUUUUGUGACAACAAGUGUUCCAAUUUGUCCAAAUUGAGUGAGUUGGAAGACGCAAUGAACUCGGCCGCCCGUUUAUUGGUUUUUAUCCCCCACGCGCCAAACGUUUCCAUUUCGGUUUCUCAUUGAUUUUCCCGAGACCGAUAAAAUCAAUCCCUCGCUACCAAUUUCCUCUUCCACUCUCCACCGCGUCUUCCUGCCCAAAUUUCCAGAUCUCGCUGGAUUGGAUCACAAAUGUCGCGCUACGAUUCUAAUCCGUUUGAAGAGGACACGGUCAAUCCUUUCGCGAAUCCCGGAACGGUUCCUCCUGCAACCUCAAAGCUUUCACCUCUUCCACCUGAGCCAUAUGACCGUGGAGCCACAGUUGAUAUUCCUCUUGACUCUGGAAAGGAUCUGAAAGCUAAAGAGAAAGAACUUCAGGCAAAAGAGGCUGAAUUGAAGAGGCGAGAGCAGGAACUAAAACGCAAAGAAGAUGCAAUAGCACAAGCUGGGAUUGUGAUAGAGGAAAAAAAUUGGCCUCCAUUUUUUCCUGUCAUUCAUCAUGACAUUGCAAAUGAGAUACCCAUCCAUCUGCAGAGGAUACAAUAUGUUGCAUUCACCUCAUUGUUAGGUCUUGUGAUGUGCCUGUUAUGGAACGUUGUUGCUGUUACCACUGCAUGGAUUAAGGGAGAAGGUCCAACAAUAUGGUUUCUUGCCAUUAUCUAUUUCAUAUCUGGGGUUCCUGGAGCUUAUGUUAUGUGGUACCGGCCUCUUUACCGUGCCAUGAGGACUGACAGUGCUCUGAAGUUUGGCUGGUUUUUCUUGUCGUAUCUGGUUGUCAAUGAAUGCAGUUCCAUAUUGGGUUUUGUGUCUUUGCUGCUGUUGCUCCUCCCAUCAUCUUCAAAGGCAAGUCGCUCACGGGUAUCUUGCCUGCCAUAGAUGUCUUGAGCGGGAAUAUCUUGGUCGGGAUCUUCUACUUCAUAGGCUUUGGGUUCUUCUGCUUGGAGUCGCUGAUCAGUAUAUGGGUUAUUCAGCAAGUGUACAUGUACUUCCGAGGGAGUGGGAAAGCUGUGGAGAUGAAGCGUGAAGCGACUAGAAGGGCAAUGAUGGCGGCGGUAUGACAGCACCGAACAUCAACUUACAACAAAAACUGCAAAGUCCUAAUUGCGGAUAUGGCUCCUUUUUUUGGUUUGGCACUUGGGAAGGCUUGGGCCACCGUGAAUUAUUAUUAGUAGGGAUAAAUAUACAAAAGCUUUUUUUGCCGGAUACUGUCGCCCAGUGGGUUGGAUUGGAUGUAUGAUACGAAAGGUUUUCAAGUGGAUUGGGCGCCGGCAUUUUGCAGGUGUAAGAGAUGUUUAUGAUGAAAAGGGAGGGGCCCUAUCUCUGUUCAAAACAAGGUAGCUGAGCGCACUCACAAUUCCCUUACCACGAAGGAAAGAGAUUACAAACCACGGCGUAAGGUCUUCUCUGCUUUGAUUGGGAGAUAUGGAGAGGGGUUGAAACCUAAAUGAGGUUGUUGUAUGGUUCCUACGAUUAAUGGAUUUGCUGAGAAAAA